rnacentral:rRNA from 1 species
UACGGAGGGUGCAAGCGUUAUCCGGAUUCACUGGGUUUAAAGGGUGCGUAGGCGGGUUGGUAAGUCAGUGGUGAAAUCCCCGAGCUUAACUUGGGAACUGCCAUUGAUACUAUCAGUCUUGAAUACCGUGGAGGUCGACGGAAUAUGUCAUGUAGCGGUGAAAUGCUUAGAUAUGACAUAGAACACCAAUUGCGAAGGCAGUUGGCUAAACGAGUAUUGACGCUGAGGCACGAAAGCGUGGGGAUCAAACAGG